rnacentral:rRNA from 1 species
AGUGAACGCUGGCGGCAGGCCUAACACAUGCAAGUCGAGCGGAUGAAGGGAGCUUGCUCCUGGAUUCAGCUGCGGACGGGUGAGUAAUGCCUAGGAAUCUGCCUGUUAGUGGGGGAUAACGUCCGGAAACGGGCGCUAAUACCGCAUACGUCCUGAGGGAGAAAGGGGGGGAUCUUCGGACCUCACGCUAUCAGAUGAGCCUAGGUCGGAUUAGCUAGUUGGUGGGGUAAAGGCCUACCAAGGCGACGAUCCGUAACUGGUCUGAGAGGAUGAUCAGUCACACUGGAACUGAGACACGGUCCAGACUCCUACGGGAGGCAGCAGUGGGGAAUAUUGGACAAUGGGCGAAAGCCUGAUCCAGCCAUGCCGCGUGUGUGAAGAAGGUCUUCGGAUUGUAAAGCACUUUAAGUUGGGAGGAAGGGCAGUAAGUUAAUACCUUGCUGUUUUGACGUUACCAACAGAAUAAGCACCGGCUAACUUCGUG